CACGUAGGGCGCAAGCGUUGUUCGGAUUUACUGGGCGUAAAGCGCGUGUAGGCGGCUUUGCAAGUCGGGUGUGAAAGCCCUCAGCUUAACUGAGGAAGUGCGCCCGAAACUGCAGAGCUUGAGUACCGGAGAGGAUGGUGGAAUUCCCCAAGUAGAGGUGAAAUUCGUAGAUAUGGGGAGGAACACCGGUGGCGAAGGCGACCAUCUGGACGGAUACUGACGCUGAGACGCGAAAAGCGUGGGUAGCAAACAGG
rnacentral:rRNA from 1 species